CCCAAGCGAAGCAGACAAUUUUGCAAUUAGUCAGAUAAUUCAGGGAAAGAAGGGAGUUCUGCCUGACUGACUCAGGCGAUCCUGGCUCCAGAAACCUCCUAUAGAAACAAGUUGCUCAACUGGAAAUUCUCAAUGCUACCUCCACGACGACAUUGCUUCCUUAACCUCAUUGUUACCUGCCCUAGACAAUUUCUCCAUCCUGCACAUGGCCAUGUAUUUUUUAUCUACAUCAUCCUUUCUGAGAUUGAAUGGGGUGGCCAUCUUGGAAGCUGUAUGAGGAAAGGAAGGAGCUAUGAGAUAGAAGGCAUCUGUGUCCCUGAAUCACAAGUUGGAGAGUGAGAAUAGAUGACUACUAAUCAAGAAUACCUGUUGUGGACAUGUGGGAGAAAUAAAUGUCUGGUGUAUUAAAACACUAACAUUUUGGGUUUGUUUUUACAGAGGCUACAUUAUCCUAAAUCAGAGGUCAACACAGUGGCUCACGGGUCU
rnacentral:lncRNA from 1 species